ensembl:miRNA predicted gene, 27374
CUCCUGCCUCAGCCUCUCCAGUUGCUGGGAUUACAGGCAUGAGCCACUAUGUCUGGAUUAUAAACUGGUCCUUUUGGAGCC